rnacentral:lncRNA from 1 species
UUUUUUUUUGUUUUUUGGUUUGUAAUUUUAUUUGAGCACAAGUCUGUAUUAAUUGAUAAGACUCGGAGACAUUUCAUUUGGAUUGUUGUGCUAGACCUACAAAUAUGCCAAUCGGGCUGAAUGUGCAUUCAGCAAUAGUAGUAGUAUAGAUGGACCACAAGUGGCACGCAUCGGAAAGGGCCAAGAUGCUGGCUAAAAAAAGGAUGUUGUUGUAGCAAAAAAAAGUACAGCGGCCUAGCUUAUGUGUGUUAGUUUAUAUUAUUGAUCCAUAUACUCUAUAAGUGUUUAUAUGUCUGUUAGUUCUUUACAUUCUUGGUUGAUUGACUCGGUAUUUGAAUCUUGAUACAUCGCUUGUGUACAUAUCUAAAUGGGAGUACACAUUAUGUUGCGUGUGACAUUUGAGUUGGACAUGAAGUGUUCCAAAUAUUCGAAUUCACCUUAAACUGGAUCCUAGUUUCUGAGUUUGAGUAUCGGCAUUUGUAAAUCAUAUUCAUAUAUGACAGUGGUAUACAUCUUUGUCGUCCUUUUGAAGAUAUAUAAAAACACAUAGAAUGAUUUAUAAAGAUUCAUAUAGGAAUACAAAAUGGAUACGAAUUUAGUUGCCAGGGUAAACGUGGAUGCUUAUUGUCCCAAAAUUCGAAAGAAGCAGCAAAAUGUCCACUCCCACGUCGGCUGCCCGAAGCCAAGUGUUUGGGAGAUGGAAAUUACUGUCUACCCAUUACACGGACAAUCCAUCGGCCCGAUUUCCACUGCUCUAAAUAGGGGUAGGUUAGUAACUUCAAUUAGACGUGACACGACCGCCUCUGAGCCCAUUCCGACACGGUGGGCGUCAAACAUGGGCGGCAAAACACAUUUGAUUCAAGCUCGUCCGAAAGACUUCUGUUUCUCCAUCCAUUCCCCAUUCAUACACAGUGGGCGGCAAAACAAACUCGGCUCGGCCGAAAUCGAUGUAGGCAAAUAUUUUCAAUAGGGGCAGGUUUGUAACUUCACUCAGACGUGACACAACCGCCCUACCUGUCAGCUCUAUUCAUACACCGUGGGCGCCAACCAUGGGCGCCAACCACCCUCUCCUCGCCCGAAAUCGCUCUAGGCAAAUAUUGGCGAGAUGCGAGAUUACUGUCCUAUCCCCAACCGAUGAGACGUCCAAAUUUUAAAUGGGGGCUAAGUUCGUAACUUUCCCAUAUUUCAGACAGCUGCAUCCCAAAAACAUGGUUCCCCGUACCUCUCCCUCCAUUUUCCCAUUCAUACACCGUCCGCGCUAUAACACCCCAUCCCCACACCAGCCUCCGUCCGCCACCCCAUCCAUCGCCGCCGUCCUCCACCACAUCCAUCGCCACCGUCCUCCACCAUGCCAGAGCGCCUACCAAGACCGCGUCGUCCACUGCUAGAGAUGGACGUUUCUCAUCCACCGCGACGGACCAAUAGCCUUGCAUCGCGUCCUCUUGCUUCAUCGGCGCUGUCGUCCUCUUUGCCGGGGCCGCUCACACGACCUUCUCUUCCACCGCAACGGGACUUAUCCCCCAAUGCACCCGUCUACCGUCGCAGAUCUGCUUCAACGUCACCGACAGCCAUCGCACCCCCGAUGCCUACACGGCGCCGCAAGAGAGGUGGUACUUCAUAUCUCCUCAACUUUUUGAUCUCAACCAGAAAAUAGAUCUUUACUUGGUUACUCUACUUUCUUUUCAGCUCUUAGAAUUUAGUUCUUAGUUCGAAGAAAACAAUGGAUGCUAAAUAUCAUUUCUCCAGUUUGCAGCUUCAAAUCUGCCAGGGCACAACCAUAAUACGAUUUAAUUGAUCAUGCUUAGGGUUUAAUUGAUCAUGUUGGUUCCGUGGUGGUUUCUUUAAUAGAAAUCGGAGGGGAAACCCUCUUUUGCCAAAAAAAUAUGCUUAGAGUUUCCCCCUUUUAUGAUCACUAUACGAUCAGAAUACGUGCUUCGUCUCAUAAUAACACUGCUCCACCCAUCAAGCUAAACAAGCUUAGAUGUUCAAAUACGAAUCUGAUAUUAUUCAAACAGAGUUGUUUAAUUGGUCAGCUAAAUGUUCCUAAAUUAGUUUCGAAAAUGCAUGUUCACCGCUCUGGUGUGUAUCUCUACAGGGUGCCCACGAUGGGCCGGCCCACCCUGGGAUUUUGGGUCGUCCCAGGCCCCGAUUCCCCUCUGUUCUGCUGCGCGCUUUCAAUCUCUACUCGCCCCCAGCCGCCUGCCUCGCCGGCGACUUGCCGUCCCCGUAUGGCAUGACUCUAGGAGGAUACGCCGGACUAACAAGAGGCGAGGAGCCUCUCGCCCAACAACGUCAUCGCUGCCCGGGCGCGCCACCGUGCCUACCUUCCCAGUCCGUUCAGGGCUCAGGCGUGCAGCACCCACCAAGCCAACCUGAUUUAUCCUGAGAUACGUCCUCAACACUCAGCAGCCACUCCUCAUCACCCAUUUUGUAAUUGAUUCAUUACUCAUUAGGCAGGACUGUCAUUAGGGUUUGUUGUGUGCUCAGUGCUACCUACACUUAAUGGUUCAGAUGUAUUUCGGUAAUCUUUAGUACCUCUAAAGUUCACAGGGUUUUCAAAAUUCUGGCCCUCGGAACAGAAACUAGUCAUUUUGGAUGUUGGUCGUAGUGACAUUGACCCAGAUUACUACUGCAAGCCAGGUUUGUUGACAAUUUUACUUGUCUUUCUUACUCAUUCGAUAUAAUAUCCAAUUAUUCACGUCAAUUAGUUUCAAACAAUAAGUUCUAGACAAACUUCUUCAUUCAGAUUUUGGACGGUCUCUUACUGGAGUUACAAUUCUGCAUACUUGUCCUAAUAAGCUCACAAGUAAAUGAUUGAUUCACUACAUCUAUGCUUGCCUUGUCAUAUUUGUUGUCAAUAUUCUUUAAGGGUGGACCACCCUGUUUCUAAAUACUGGAACCGUAGACAUGAGUGAAUAGUAUUUCUCUAUGUGAUCUCUUCCAUCAUGUGUGGGUAACGAACACUGCAUUGUAUAGAAAGAAAGUGUCAUUUCCAGCUUUUACAAAGGUUUCGAUCUUUUACAUGGAAUACAAUCUGCCUACUUGCUUUGUGUCGCACUACCAACACUCCACCCUUGAAGCUAAACAUUACGCCACCCAUAAUUGCUUAGUUUAUUUGUUCAAAUACGAAUUUCAUAUGAUUCUAAUGUUCCUACUUCAGUUUUGAAAUGUGUGCCUGCCUGUUAUAGAGACAUAAGGGGUUUGUAUUUCUGUGUGUGGUCUGGUCAGCACGGUUGGGGAGGUGAACUUUGCAUAUGCAGGGGUUUAUAGGGAGACACUCUCCGAGUUGAAUCCGCAAUGCAUUCCAUAGAUAAUCUGACUACUUUUUAUGUUUUCAUGAAUCUCAGAUUCUGAACAGCAUCAUAAUGAUUAUGAGCUUGUGCGCAUGAAAAGAAUAAAGCAGAACAAUGCCAUGGCUGUCAAACUUGGCAUUAAGGGACUGAAAUCAAGUCUGGAUGCAAUGCAAUGCAAACGCUCUCCACCUACAGAUUCAUGCUCAGAAUAUGAUCCUAACAGUGAUUCUGAGCUAGAGGGAGACCUAAGUCAAUGUAGCUCCCUAGUGGAGGAGUCAGAGGAAAAUUCCCUAUCUUAUUCACCCAUCAAGGUACUUGCUCUAACUUUCCAAGGUUACAUUGCUCGCACCUAUCUUGCAACUGAUGCUUUGCAUUGCUUCUACUUUGUUGAACUGCCAUUAGCUUAGUUUACACAUCGUGUAUGUGAAUACGCCCUGCCUAUCCAUUUUCAGUACAUAUUCCAUCGGUCAUCAUACCAUAUUUAUCCAUUCAAAUGUUGUUCUUGUGUAUCAGACGUUCAAAAGGAAUAGGGCGAUUGCUGAUCAUGGAGGAGCACAAGCAAUGUAUUUGGAAAAGGUAGUGGCACCUGAUAAAUCAAAUAGCCCAUUAGGUGUAGUUGCAAUAUCACCUGACCCACAAAAUACCCCAACUCUAGCAGACUCUAGCCCUACUACACUGGUCAUUUUUGAUGCCCCAACUCAGCAGACCCCAACUGCAGCAAAUAGUAUGAUUAUGCCAGUUGACAUAGCACCAGCUGUACGAUGCAAAACCCCCAUUCUAGCAAAGAGUACACCAAAUCCAGUUGCCAAAUCCCUUUUCGAACCAGAGAGAGCCCCAAUUGCAGCAAAUAGGACCCCUGUUCCAAUUCUUCCCAGUUUAGAAGACGAAGCUUAUGUUGUUGUCAGGAACUUUGUGCGCAUCUUUCCUUCAUGGAAAGAUUAUACCGCAGACACAGAACAAUUUCCAGUCUUCCUCGGCAACUUACGCAUAAGUAAUGUACUAAUGUUAUUCAUGGUCAUUACUGCAUAUGUUUCUGCUGACAGAAGACACAAGAUUUCAUUCUUUUAAAUAGGCGAGGAGCAAGCUGGAUUGUGAUGACGAGCAAGAGUUGGUUGCACUUUUCAAGCACUCGUUGAUGAAGUAUCGUUCCUACCUGAGGCAAGAGCACUUCGAUGGCAAGCCUCUAAACGAAAUUUCUGUAAAGUCUCCGGUGCUACAUUUAUCCGAUGGUGACUGGAAUAAUCUUGUUACACAUUGGUCUCGGCUGUAGCAUAAGGUACUGUCUAUGAUAUCACAUCACAAUUUGAACUACAUUUCUGCAUUUGCCUUAAUGUCUCACUUGUACGAAAAAUGUUAGCAGAAGAACAUUCAUUCUCAAGGGACCACAGAAUCUCGCAACUAUACUGCACACUACAUUGCUCUUGUGAGUACCUCUUGCCCUGUAUGACCAUACUUACUUUCAUAGCUGUUUGAUUAUGUAGCAUCACUGCACAUGUUAGCCUCGUAAUCGUCCAUUUGGUGGACAUUAUAAGAUCCGUAUGGACUCUUACACAAAUUUUGAAUCAACCCAAUGCUUUUGAAGAGGUUUAGCUCUGCAGUCCUCUUGUAAGGACUGAACGUGGUCUAUCACUGUACUUGCAUUAACGUUUUGUACAGUACACCAGUGUUCAAAACACUCUUGUAUUAUGGGAAGAGGGAUCGGUUCAUUUUGUAGCAUUCUGCAUCUUAUCUCCCUCGCCCACCAUUUACUAAAAAAAUCAGAUCUAUAUUUAAUCUUACCAACAAGUAGAAUACACAGACAAUGCCAGUGCAGAAGUGUAGCCCAUUGCUCUUGUCAGUACAUUUUGUCCUGUAACGCUUGUACUUCCAGGGAUUGGUAGUUGAUUAUGUAGCAUCAAUCUGCAUCUUAUCUUCAUUAUCCUCUAGCCCUUCCAGUAUUAUCAUAUCUAUAAUUACUCUCUACAAAAUGUAGAGUACAGGCAAUGCUUAUGAAGAAGAUUCUGUGCUAAAAUUCUUGAGUUAUCCUUCCCUUGACAUGGAGAAGGGAAUUAUAAAGCCGGUGUUAACUGUUAAUGUAAGUCAAUCCUUCUAAAGCCUUUAUCCUCGACUGCUGUUUAAUUUUCUCAUACUCCCUAUCGUUUACUGUUGUUUAGUUUGCUGUUUCUACCAAAAUGCAUGUUCGUAAGAACCGUAAGUUCUAAGUUUUACUUGUAAAACCAAAUUCCUUAUUCAUACCAUGCACAUUGCUUAAUACUCCCUAUAUGUAUGCUUGGUUUUGUGGAUCUAUAAUCCAGUGUGUGGUGAAGCAGCCCACGUUUGCACCUUGUCAUCUCCUGUUUUAUAUUACUGAUAUGGCUGAUGAUAUGAACAACAUGCCAUGCACAUCAUCCAAAAUAGAUACAAUGAUUUUCUUUGCCCUUCAUCUAUGCUUGUUAUGUUGACAUGGUAAUCCAGUAGUGUGGUGAAGCUCCUCGCAUUAUGAACAAUGCCAAAUUAUGCUAUUGAUAUUUUGAACUUACUCUUUAUUUUCUAAUUUGAAAUUGGAUAGAAUUGACAGAACAACUAUCAUCUUUGUUUAUACACGUGCUGUCGGAUUUCGGGUUCCAGCAGACCCUUGAGGUUCGAACACUGGGGUGCACACGAAGAUCUCUCCCCUACCAGCUCACGUCUCGAAGUCUCCCAAAGAUCUAAGUAAGAAAGAUGAACACACAAGGGACACAAGAUUUAUACUGGUUCAGGCCACCAUUGUGGUGUAAUACCCUACUCCAGUGUGUGGUGUGGUGGAUUGCCUCAGGGGCUGAUGAUGAACAGUACAAAACAAGAACAGCCUCGCGAGGGGCUGUUCUUGAGCUGGUGCAAUGAACUGCUUGAGUGUGUUCAGUCACUUUUCUCUCUCUCUCUCUCUCUCUCUCUCUCUCUCUCUCUCUGGUUGAUCUCUCCAUGAUCUAGAUCCCUUUUAGGUCUCUUUUCCCCACCCUAUCAUGUGGGUGGCUGGUCCUAUUUAUAGGCGGAGGCCCUGUGCCUCUCCCCAAAUAAUGAGCGGGAAGGGCGCCAACAAUUGGCCAUUUUCAAGGGGAACAUCUUGUACACUUAUCCUGACUAAAGUUGGUCUUCGUCUGCCAAAGGUUCUGACGGUGACGCCGCCCUGGGCUCCACGAUGACCUCCAUCCUGCCUGCUGCCUUGGCCUGUGCUUGCCCCCUUUGCACCGAAAGGGAAACAAGGACACUGCACAGGCCGGCGCCCGCCUGGCACCCGCCUGGUCCUCGAUCGUCAUGGCUUGCGUCACGGGCCCCUCUGGAGGUGCCCUGCCUUGAUCUCUCCGUCUCCUCGCGAGCCUGCCUGAGGAGGCUGCUCCUGAGGAAGCUCCCUGUCGUCCGCCCCGCGAGGCUUGGCCCCUUGUGAGGGUCUUGAGCUUGAGCUGAUGAAGCUGGGAUGCAUUGGGCCCCCACUUGAGCCACGCCGCAGGCCGCAGGCAGGCAAGUCUGGGGACCCCCAUUCCCAGAACGCCGACAGUAGCCCCCGGGCCCAAGGCGCGCCCGGUCUUGGCUUAGCAGAGAAGCGAAGGGGCAAUUGUGAAGCACCGCGGGCCCCAACAACCUGUGGCCUUGGGCGCCGCGUGGCGGUUGAUUGGACGUGGGCAUCUCUGCUUCCCCAUGAUGCCUCAGCAACCGGAUGACUUGACAAGUCCCUGCAUGCAAAAACGGGUCAUGAUUACCUACGAUCGUGGAGGCCGACGGUUGGCCUCCUCCGGCUAUAAGUACGGAACGGCGUGAGCCAUUCCAGUUCAUCUUCCUCUGCUACUCCUCCUCUUCUUCAUCUUCUCCAUUGUUCCGUCUCACGCUGAUGGCACCCAUCUGCCGGUUCCCUGCCGAAGAGAAGGGAAAUGCCCCCCAAGAGGGUCCUGACCCACUUCCGCCGAAGAAGCGGUUAGUCCUCUGCCGCCGAGAUGAGGGUGCGCGGCUGGAGAUAUCGUGUCCCUGGUACGAGCGGCCACCGCCGGGGUUCCCUCUACCCUUGUAUGCUCGGAUCGAGGGCCCUGGAGAAGAAAGCGCCGAGCGACACCGGUGAUGCCGCCAUAGAUGCCGGUGGGUCACGGUGGUGCGCGUCGUUCCUCUUGGAGUCCACGCUGAGGGCUCCUCCCGCGAGCUUGUGCUCCACGCCGCCAUGCCUCCUCGAUCUUGGAUUCGCCUUCCUCCCUCCUUCUCCUUCGAGAUCCCGCCGAGGGGGCCUAUCGAGCUCUGGCUGCAGCACGCUGACUGCAGCACCCCUACGACUGUAGCGGAGGUCGAGGUCACCGCCUCCGGGCAAGGUCUACAUGACCCGUGGCUGGGGCAAGAUCGCCCGGGUCUGCAGGACAGGUGGCGCCCUCGUGAUCCACCUCAGGUACGAUGGCGCCUCCCUGAUGUUCUUCAAGGUCUUCGGCGUGGAAGGACGCCGGCUGGAAUGCUGCCCUGAGAAAGGCGGCCGGGGCGGCCGGAGCCCUGCCAUAGCGAGGACUAGGCUCGCCGAUCGCUUCCCCAGUAGCUCCUCAGGCGACAGCGGAGGUGCCAGAGGAUCCAAUGACUCCGCCGAGCUCCUCGCGACCCCAGAGACAAGCGACGACAGCUAUGAGCCCCGAGCUCGCGUCGCGCUCGGAGCAGGGCGGGCUCGUCCGGCCGCCGACACCACUGAUCUGUGUGGGGUUGGCGCCGGUGCCUGGCGGCCCACUGUUGAUGAUGGCGUCUCUUGCGGAGGUGCGUGUAGUCAGCGCUCUUUAGGAUUAGCUCCCUUUGUUCCCUGUGAGGAAUCGAAGUACCACCCCGCGGGGGUAUAUAAGGCGCGGGCCAUAUCUUUUGUAAAUAUUGUAUCCCUAGUAUGAAUCGAUGCGAGGUGCUUGUCCUGUCCCGGCUCGGCUCCCCCUUUCUUUCCUCACGAGGGCUUGGUGCUCUAUGUUGGCAGGUCUCUGUCCCCAGGAAGGCUUCAGCCGUCGCUGGUAUGCCAGGUCGCGAUGUCGUGGUCAAGGCCAGGAGGUGAGCGGCCCGAGGUCCAGUAAGAGCCCCUGAGUCGCGAUGCUCAGGAGGUCCCCUUUAACGCUCAAGCAGUCUCCGAUGGGCGAGAAAGGCAAGCAGAGUUGCCGUGACAGAGCUGCAGUAGGCGAGGGUUAAGCACUGAGUCGGAUCAGUUUUCGCGUGACUUAUCUCGUAGGCUUGGGGUAGCUUCCAUUGAGGCAUCGGGCUUGCGCGACGGCAACUGAGGUGCUACUGGGUUAGGCGCUCGCGAGCUUCUUCCCUCUCCUCCAUGCUUCCCUUAAUGCUCUACGUCCUCAGGUCCCGGCCCCAAGCGAGCUCAGCCGCUGCUGGUAUGACAGGUCGCGAUGCCGUGGGUCAAGGCCAGGAAGUGAGUGCUGGAGAGCCAGUAAGAGCCCAUGAGUCGCGAUGCUCAGGCGCCCCCCUUUUAACAUGCAAGCGGGUCGUGCCGAAGAGGAGAAGAAGUCUCGCGAUGCCACCAGCAUUACUCCUGGAGCGGGUCCUGCACACCAACCACGAGGGGAAACAAGGCCUGUUGUCUCGGUUAUCAGCUAACCAUCGGUCACUCCGAGGGAGUGAUUGGGACACUAAGGGCCUGGUGAGGUGGCGCCUUGCGGGGUUGCCGCGACCAGAGCUCAGCCACUCAGAUUUUUUGGUGUUGCAGGGACAGACCCAUGCGCAAGUGUCGUGCCAGAGCGAGCGGCGCCAAAGAUAGGCGUUAAUCGAGCAGACGAUUAAGUAUAGCAUGUUAGGCGCGAAGGAGCAAAUUCAUUUAGAUAGAUGCGUGGAAUUAAACGCCACUGGGUCUGGCCCGAGCGGCCUGGGGAUAAUGCAGCCCGAGGGGUGCCCCCAACAAAGCAGAUGAAAAACAUAAGCAAAACGGAUACAUGCCGCAGGGACGGACCCACGCGACCUGGGAAUGAUGCGGCCCUGCGGGCGCUCCCAGCUGAAGAUAAAACUUGAAAAGAUGUCACCUCAUACCAUUGCAGAGCGAGUGUCGGAGUAGCUGUCGACACGCGGUGAAGCAGCCAACCCUCACGAGCCCUCGAAGCCCUAAGCCUCGGGAGGCUCUGAGGGUCCAGGCGGAUCCUCAAGGUCCAUCUCCAUCUCCUCCAGGAACGCAUGGUGCCUAGCCAACUGAGCUUCCAGGAUGAUCCUCAUCAGGCGCUGGUGGGCAGCAGCCGCGUUCGGCAGGCCGAAGGGCAUGCGAACGUAGCUGUGAGGCGGACCCUCACAGCGCCCCACGCAUGAAGGCCAGAGGCGCUCCUGAGACGCGGCUCGGUUGAGCCCCGGUAUGUCGAUGCAGACACGCAACCCACCAUCCUCGCCGGGAUGUGGGGCUGCAGUGGGUAGGCGGUGACUGCCACGCAUGACUCUGGACUCCUGUAGCUCCUGAAUGUUCCUCGCGAUGAACUCCUGGGGGUUUUGCCUUCCUUGCCUUAUACCUUCCUAAGGGAAACGUGCCUUGAAGCAUGCCUCAAAGUGGUGCCCGAGCGCCUCCCUCGUGACCUUGGCGAGGUCGGUGGCCCUCCAAGAGAGAGCCCCCGAGCCCUGCCCGAGGAGGGUGCUGGGCGCGCCUUCCUAUGCGACAGAGGGUGGCGCCCCUUGGUCGGGCGCGGAUCCUGACGCAACGCCUCCGGACGGGCCUACCUCGUGAGUUUUUGGGCUAGGUGAAGCCUUCUUCUUCUUAGGAACUGCCUCGGGGAGCCUCCCGCUCCUGUGAUCUAGGUCUUCGAUUGUCGCGGCCUGGAAGGCACGCUCAAGAGAACACACUGCAUCCCUUUCCUCACAAGGCACUGUGAUGAUUCCACCGCUUCCUGGCAUCUUGAGGACAUUGUAGCCAUGGUGAGUCACUGCCAUGAACUUGGCCAGAGCUGGGUACCUGAGGAUGGCAUUGUAUGGCAAGCGGAUGUGAGCGACGUCGAAGUCAAUGAGCUCGGUGCGGUAAUUGUUGCGCUUCCCAAAGGUGACGGGAAGACGAACUUGCCCUAUUGGAACAGUGGAACCAUUAGUGACUCCUGAGAAAGGCUUGGUUAGCUGAAGCUGAUCGUAUGGCACUUGGAGAUUGUUGAACAUCUUGACGGACAGGACGUUGAGCCCAGCCCCGCCAUCAAUGAGGGUCCUGGUGACUUGCACAUUGCUGAUGACUGGGGAACAAACCAUCGGGAGGACCCCGGCCGUUGCCGCACACUUGAGCUAAUCCGCUGAACUGAACGUGAUAGCGCACGUGGACCACCUAAGUGGGCGUGUGGCCUCAAGCUUGGGGAGGACUCCAUUCACCUCGCGAGCAAACUGCUUGAAGAUGCGCUGAGAGGCUGGGGCCUGAGCGCCUCCCAGGAUGCAAGCGAUUGCGCGUGGCUCCUGGAAGCCCCCAGUCCCUCGUCCUAGUGAUGGUCUUCAUUCCUCCUUGGUGGUGGUGGCAGAGGAGGGAGGCCUGUGUUGCCUUGAGGGUGGUCCUCACGAGGCUGAUCCCUCCAACCUCCCUUGCGAGGCUGGUCCUGCUAGCGGUCUUCGCGAGGCCGGUCAUGCCACCCUUGGCGAGGGCCACGGUCUUCCCAUCGUCCUCCACCUCUUCCUCCUCCUUGGCCAUAGCCCUGGUCGUUGCGGUCGGGGCGUCGGCCGAUACGUCCAUCUCGCACGGCCCUAAGCUCCUGACAUUCAUUGGUGUUGUGGGUGUGGAGGUCGUGGUACACGCAGUACCGGCUGCCCUUAGAUGACUCAGGCUGAUCCCUUCCUCGCUUGGUAUCUGGCUCUGCCGCGAGCACAGCAUCCCCCUUGCACUUCACGUCCUUGACCUUGGGCUUCUUCUCUUCUAGGUCGGCAGCCGGGAGCUCGAGAAGGGAGAGGCGCCCUUCCUCAGCCCUGGCGCACUUGGUAGCCAGGUUGAACAGCUCCAGCGGUGUGCACAAGUCUUCAUGUAUUGCUAGCUCCUCUGUCACGCACGCCGUCGGAGAAGGCUGAAAUGAUGGCCUCCUCAGUCACCUUGGGAAUCUUGAGGCGGACGUUGUUGAAGCGCUGGAUGUAUUUCUGCAGGGUCUCUCCCGGCUAUUGCUUGAUGCGGCGCAGGUCACUCAUGGCCGGGGGCCGGUCUCGAGUACCUUGGAAGUUGGCGAUGAAGCGGGUGCGCAUCUCGUCCCAGGAGGAGAUCGUGCCCGGGGCCAGAUUCAGGAACCAAGUGCGGGCGCCGUCCUUGAGUGCCAUGGGAAACCAAUUCGCCAUGACCUUUUUGUCUCUGUUGGCAGCCUCGAUGCCCAACUCGUAGAGCUGGAGGAACUCCGCGGGGUCCACAGUGCCGUCGUAGCACGGAGGCGGGUCUGGCUUGAACUUGCCAGGCCACGCGACGCUAUGUAGCUCGGAGGUGAAAGUGCGGCAGCCUGAAGUGGCCACCGGAGCUCUCUGCUGAGGUGGGGCUUGCCCCUGGGGAUUCCCGCGCGCCGCUGCCGGGAGCAACGCUGGGUCUUGACGUGGCGGUGUAGGGAUGCGGUCAUGGUGCACCGGUGCUGGGAGCACGCGAGCACCUUCUUGGGGCGAGGGAUUUCUUGGCAGCUCCUUUCUUGUCACGCAGGCGCCGGACACGGCGGGCCUCGACCCGGGGCCGCGCGCCUUGGAGCCAGGAUGCCUUCUUGGGGAGGAGGUGGUGGAGGCACCUCCUGCUCCUCGCCUCCUGCGUAGGAUGGAGGGCGAGGCAGCAAGAGGGACGGCAUGGGAGAGACCCCUGCGGCGCUGACGAGCUCGGUGAUGCGGGCGAGCCAAUCCUCGUAGAGGUCGUCGACGGGGCGCUAGUGAAGGAGCUCAUGGGCCAGGAGCAGCAUGGCAUGCGCGUCCGUGGGGGCACGACGGGCAUGGGACGACGAACCGGCUGGAGUCAGCUACGGGGUGGCGGUGCGGCCAUCGCGCUGCACCGAAGGAUGCAGGGACGAGGCCUGCUGCUUGUUCCCCGCCGGGCCGGUGGUGGCAUUGGCGGCAGGCGACGGAGAACGACAGGGGCGUCCGCCGACGGGCGCCAUCUGGGCGAUGCGGGUGGCGAGAGCAGCCCAACGCUCGACGCGGGCUCGGCGAGUGUCAGCCAUGGUCGCGGUGGGAGAUCAGACACAACUAGCGGAAGAAAGAUUCCGGCGCACCCCUACCUAGCGCGCCAAAUGUCGGAUUUCGGGUUCCGGCAGACCCUUGAGGUUCGAACACCGGGGUGCGCACGAAGAUCUCUCCCCUACCAGCUCACGUCUCGAAGUCUCGCAAAGAUCUAAGUAAGAAAGAUGAACACACAAGGGACACAAGAUUUAUAUUGGUUCAGGCCACCAUUGUGGUGUAAUACCCUGCUCCAGUGUGUGGUGUGGUGGAUUGCCUCAGGGGCUGAUGAUGAACAGUACAAAGCAAGAAUAGCCUCGCGAGGGGCUGUUCUUGAGCUGGUGCGAUGAACUGGUUGAGUGCGUUCAGUCACUUUUCUCUCUCUCUCUCUCUCUCUCUCUCUGGUUGAUCUCUCCAUGCUCUAGAUCCCUUUCAUGUCUCUUUUCCCCGCCCUAUCAUGUGGGUGGCUAGUCCUAUUUAUAGGCGGAGGCCCUGGGCCUCUCCCCAAAUAAUGAGCGGGAAGGGCGCCAAUAAGGGGCCGUUUUGAAGGGGAACAUCUGGUACACUUAUCCUGACUAAAGUUGGUCUUCGGCUGCCAAAGGUUCUGACGGUGACGCCGCGCUGGGCUCCACGAUGACCUCCAUCCUGCUGUUCUGCUGGUCUUGGUCUUGUUGCACCAAAACGGUAACCUUUGCCUGCUGUCUUGGCCUGUGCUUGCCCCUUUGCACCAAAAGGGAAACAAGGACACUGCGCAGGCCGGCGCCCGCCUGGCGCCCGCCUGGUCCUUGAUCGUCAUGGCUUGCGUCACGGGCCCCUCGGGAGGUGCCCUGCCUUGAUCUCUCCGCCUCCUCGCGAGCCUGCCUGAGGAGGUUGCUCCUGAGGAAACUCCCUGUCGUCCGCCCCGCGAGGCUUGGCCCCUCGCGAGGGUCUUGAGCUUGAGCUGAUGAAGCUGGGCUGCAUUGGGCCCCCACUUGAGCCACGCUGCAAGCCGCAGGCAGGCAAGUCUAGGGACCCUCAUUCCCAGAACGCCGACACGUGCAAAACCUGUCAUCUCUCUGCUUUGUUUCAGGGUGAUAUGCCUGAUGGCAUGCACAAGUCUGCUAAAGGCUGUGAGACAAACCCAACAUAUAUUGCAGCAAAGAAGGCAAAACAUCUUGAAGAUAGCGAGACAACCCCAAAGUCUUGUCUUGAUGAAGUGUUCAAGUUACUUGAGACUAACAGUCAGACAAGCUCACAAAAUUCGUUGUCUGAAUCAGUUCGACUUCUUCAGUCCCAAGUUCUAGCAGAAAGGCAUUCUGCAACUCAACUUCGACUUGAAGUCCUAUCUCUAAGAAAGAUUGCGGAGAACACCAAUGAGAACCUCAUCGCUAAACAGCUACACCUGGAAGCUAUGACCGACAUGCUAGGCCAGUCUCACAGCCUUGCUCAGCAGCUUGCACAGCAGUUCCCCCGCAAGGCUAACCUUUCUUGAACUGUCUUGGAAGUGGUCUCGGUUCAGUAUUAUUUUGUUAUGCUGCAAUGGUGCCCAUUUUUUGUAAUCUGCUUCUUCGUUGCGCUUUAUGAUCACUGGUGGUGAACUUCGAUGCCCAAUGGAUGUAAUAUACCUUAAAUCCUUUAUUGCAUAGUGUAGGUUUAUUCUUAGUUACUAUGCUGUAAUUUCUUUAUUGUAUAGAGUAGGUUUGUUCUUAAUUCCUACUAGUUACUGCCAUCAUUCGCUAUCUGAAAAAAAUCAGAUGUAGUCGACCGGGUCGAAACAUUCGACUCUAACGGGCCAGGUUUUUAGCGGGCCACAAUUGGGCCGGCCUGCGUCUUUCUUGGGCCCGAAUGAUUGGGGCCUUCACACAUUGCGCCAGGCCCAAACUUACACCGACCUAUAUUUUAGUUGGGCCUUUUAUUGACCCAGCGCUUAGUUUGGCCCAGGUAGCGUUGGGCCAUUAACAGGCUAAAUAUUGUACUGGCUUGUUACGGCCGAGAUGAAACCACAGGCCUUUAGCAGGCCAAAAUGCAUGUUGGGCCUCAAUUUUCACUAGUCGUCGACGGGCCUUCAGCAGGCCGAAAUGUAGACCGGGCCGUUUUGGGCCCAGUUAGCUCAUGGGCCGUUACCAGGCCGAAACAUAUCUCGGGCCUUAGUUGGCCCACUGAUAUCAUGGGCAUUUAAGAGGCCGAAAGCUUAGUACAGGCAUCAACGGGCCAAAUUACGCGACAGGCCUUUAACAGGCCCAAAGUCACGUUGGGCUUAACUGUUGCCACCUUUAGCACAGGCCAUUAGUGGGCCCGAUGUCCCGUUGGACCAUAUAUGGCCCAUGGGCAGCACGGGGCAUUCCCAGGCCGAAAGUCACACCGGGCUAAAAUGGGCCCAUGUCUACAUCAGGCCUCUAACAGGCCGAAAGUCACUGGGCUGUAGUUGGGCCCAAAUAUUCGGUGAACAAUUAAUGGGCCAGAUCUGGCUUCGGGGCGCAAAUGGGCCCAAAUAUUGGGCGAACAAUUAACGGGCCAGAUCUGGCUUCGGUCCGUAAACGGGCCCAAAUAUUGGGCGAACAAUUAACGGGCCAGAUCUGGCUUCGGGCCGUAAAUGGGCCUUUAUUAAGCAGGCUGUUAUUGGGCUGGCCCACUAGUACCUGAUUAAGUUCUACGGGCCUUUGACUGGGUCGGCCUUUUUAACCUAUAUGGGCCUCUGUUGGGCCCAGCCACGUGUCGACGUAUCAUAGGCAUGUCUCCUCCAAUGGACGGGCGACAUCUGGCCCACUAACGAGCUGACAGGUGUUCCCUUCGGCCAAUCAGAAGUUUACACGUGGAAAUUUCCCAUUGGUCGGGGCUGUUAACGGGUUAUCGGAUCCAAAAUUCGACCCGAUAGCUUAACGGCGUUCCGUUACGGUGGAUGCCAUGUGUCGGUCACCCUUGACGAAAUCACUUCCGUGACGCGUGAUUUAUCGUCAUGGAAGUGGACACUUCCAUGAUGAUAAUUUUGGUAAUGUCAUGAAACACUUCUACGACAGCACAGGUAUGACUAUCUUGAUUCUGUCAUAAAUUUGUCAUGGAUGUACAUGCAUGACAAAAAACGCGACCUACUGUGACAAACACGUAAUCACUGAAGUGUAUUUUUUUGUAGUGUUGGUCCAUCCACGUCUCUGGAGUCUGUCGUUGCACCAGAAACGAUCUAAGUGCAGCAGAUAGAGAAGGACUUUCAUCUUGUCAGGGGCCCAAACCUUCCAGAUGGUCGCUGUGAAGUCGAGUGUCGGGCGGUCUUCGAACUAGACGUCAUAGGCGCAGCGUGUGGAGUACUUGCCGGAGUUUCCCAGGGUCCAAGCGAUAGUGUCGGCCCUUCCAGCCUCUAGCGUGAUGCCAGUGCUUCUUAUCUCCCUGGCGAGCUGCAGCACCAUGUGCAUGAUGCUGCCGUGGUCACCAUGGUGUAGGUCAAGGACCCAUCGGUCUUGAUGCAGGGCUUCUUGGACAAAUCUGUUCUUGCGGACGGAGUGAGCGAACACUGUUGGGUAUGCCUGACAUAGCUGUCUACCGUUGAGCUAGGAAGAGAGCCAGAAGGAAGUCGUUGAGCCGUCCCCAACGGUGACGUACGUGCAGGUAGUGAACAGAGUGCGAUCGGCGUCGUCGCAGGGAGUGCUGGUGCCAACCCAAGGGCGGGAAGGCUGCGUCCAUGCUAGCCAUAGCCAUCGUAGGCGAAGAGCCCGGGCAAACUUUGGCAGAUCAUGGAUGCCCAGGCCCCCUGCGCGCACUGGUGUGGUCACCGCCUACCAUCGGACCUUGCACUUUCCACCAGUGGCCACUUCAUUUUGCGCCCAGAGGAACUGUCUUCUUGCCUUGUCCACUUCCUUGUAGAACUUUUUGGGCGCCCGCAACACCAUGAUGGCGAAGGUGGGCAUCGCUGAGAAAACACAGCAAACCAGGACGCGUCUGUCGGCGAAGGGCAUCAGCCUCCUUUCCAGCCUGCAAGGCGUGUGCAGAUCCUAUCGAGGAUGAAUUGGAGGUGCACUAAUCUGAGCCUACCCGUAGUGAUUGGCAGGCCGAGGUAUCUGAUUGGCAAGGACGCGAUCGCCCCCCAAAAUUUUGCAGAACCGUGUGCAGGUCGAUUUCAUCGCACGCAAUCGGAAUGGCUGAUGAUUUUUCUAAGUUGACGCGCAGCCCGGUUGCCUCUCCAAAGAGAUGAAGGAUGUGCAGCAGCUCGUUGAUCUCCUGGCGCACGGGGUUGAUGAAGAUGACUGCGUCAUCAGCGUACAGGCUAGUGCGCAUGCGCAAUGUUCUUCCGGGGAUUGGUUGGAGUAGGUCGUCUCUAGUUGCAGCUUCUAGAAGUCUAUGCGGGGGUCGAUGCAGAGGAUGAACAGGAGAGGGGAGAGCGGGUCGCCCUGCCGCAGGCCGCGUCGAUGCUCAAUGGGGCAGCCUAGAACGCCAUUGAGCAGACAAACUGAUGACGAGGUUGAGAGGAGCAGGGCAACCCAGUCCCUCCAACGUGCCGGAAAACCCAUUUUUCUAGCAGCUCUAAGAUAUAUUCCCAUGAAACACUGUCAAAUGCCUUUGCUAUAUCUAAUUUCAGCAGGAGGGUGGGUGUUUUGCGGCGAUGGAGAGCACAAACACUAUUCUGGAAGAAGAGAAAGCUGUCGUGGAUGCAUUUGGCCCUCUGGAAUGCGGAUUGCGCGGGGGAGAUGAUCGUGUCAAUGACAGCAGCCAGCCUCAUUGAGAGCACCUUGGCUAUAAGCUUGGCGAUGGAGUGGAUGAGGCUUAUGGGCAUGAAAUCCCCCAUGCCCGCCGCGUUGUCUUUCUUUGGCAGCAAGGCGAUCAUGGCCAAGUUUAGGUCAGAGAAGUUUCCAUCGGCCAGCCUGUAGAAGUGAUCAAAGACUGCCAUGACAUCGUGCUUGAUUGUGCUCCCGCAGGCUCUGAAGAAGGCACCCGAGAAUCCUUCCGGCCCUGGUGCUUUGUCAACUGGAGAGGCGAGGAUGGCAGCCCACACUUCAGGCUCAGUGAAGGGGUUAUCCAACCCAGCAUUUUGAACGCAUGGAAGAUCGAUCGCCUCCCAGUUAAUGGAGCAGCUCCUAGUUUCCUUGGUGCCUAGGAGGGAGGUGAAGUGCAUGUAUGCAACAUCAGCUUUGUCGGCGUGCGAGGUGGCCGUGGAAGAACUGGUUUGCAGAGAAUGAAUGAAGUUCUUCCUUCUGUGGGAGUUGAUCUUGGCUUGAAAGAAUGCAGUUUUUGCAUCCCCUACCUUGAGCCAAGUGAUCCUGGACGCAUGUAUUUUGCGCACACGCUCGAUAGCUGCAAGGCCAACCACUCUUUGCUUCAGUUGCUUUCGGAGAUGGAAUUCAGCAGGCGUGAGGUGUCGCUUUUCCUGGGCAAUAUCUAGGCGAAGGAUGAUUUCCGCGGCCAGGUGUAACUGAACCUUGGCGUCGCUGAAGAGAGACCUGGCCCAGAUUCUGAGGUCGAACAUGUUGCGCUUGAGCUUGAGCUUGAUCAUGGCGAUGGGGUAGGAGGUGGCCACUGCGCGCUGCCCAGCUCGUUCCACAGUCUCCUGAAAGAGCGGGAAACGCGUCCGUAAAGAUUUCAAACUUGAAAGAGGGCCGGCGUGCAGGAGGUACAGCGUUGGCGAGUAGCAGGGGGCAAUGAUCGGAGCAGGUCGUGGAAGCAACCAUCAGCAUGUGGUUUGGGAAGAGGGCGUCCCAUUCAGAAUUGCAGAAGAUUUUGUCGAUGCUGACAAGAGUCGGGCUCUCCCUCUCAUUUAACCAGGUGAAACGCCUGUUCUUGCACUUUAUUUCCUUUAGGCAAGCAGAGUCAAUGGCUCUUCUGAAUUGUCCCAUAAUUCUUCAGUUCAAGUUGAGGUUGCUUUUGUCUCUAGCUUCGUAGAUGACGUUGAAAUCACCAAUAAUCAGCCACAGUUCUCCACUGGGCGGGGCGGCAUUGAUUAGCUUUGCCAAGAAAGCCUCCUUGCGGGCGUUGUCGGCUGGCCCGUAGACAGUCGUCAGCCAGAACAAUGAACUGCACUGAACCGCUGAGACCUUUGUCGUGAUUGAGAAACAGCCAACUGAAUGUGUGGCAAUGUCAACUAGCCAUGUGUUCCAAAAGAUUGCCAUGCCUCCCCUUGUGCCAGCAGCAGGUAGGACCGCGCACCCUUCCAUGGCGGUGCCGCUGAUCUCGCGAGCAGCUUCUACUGACCAGGUUUCAAGCUUCAUCUCCUGGAGACAGAGGAUGGUAGGCCUGUGAGCUGCCGCAAGUUCGUACACAGCAAAACGCCUGGCCGGUGAAUUCAAUCCCCUAACAUUCCAGCUCAAAACAGAUAAAUUUGUGUUAAUCAUUGGGCACACAAAACUUCUCCGGCAACUGAAGAUUUCUAUUGAUUGAAGGAAGAAACUGAUACACAUUCCGCAUAACAGGGGGGCGCCAGAGACCACCAAUAGGCCCCUGAAUUCUCUGGCGCGCAGCGAGCAAGCUAAACCUAUGACAGGAGCUACUGACAAACGACAUUGAUCCUAACUUGAAUUGGCUUAAGGCCAAUCGCUGCCGAAGACUAAUACUAAUAGAUAGAGGACCUAUCAUAACUAAACUAGGUUGUCAGCAACAGCAUCAGGGCCAGCCAUGGCACCUGCGAUGCGAAGCGCCUCCGGAUUGAGGCGGGUGAGCUUGGCGAUGAUGGCGAUGUCUUCAUCAAAGAGGGGCUCGUCGAAGCGCUUGAUGAGGGCCUCAGCAGCUUUUGCAGUCAUGGCUUCCUUGGGGCCGAGUAGGCCGAGCUGCUUGACCAUAAGCACAGAGGCGCGCUGCGCCAUAGGUGCCUUGUGGCCCGCAGCCGCCUGCCGUGCGCUCUGCCUGGUCGGUGUAGCGCUGGUGCGAGUCUUGGAAGGUGUCGGGGUGCGGCGGGACGGUAGAGCAGUGAUGAGAGGCGCCGAAGGUUUGGAGAAUAGGCUGCUGCUUGGCCCCGCGUGCCCGUCCCCGCUGCCAAGCUGGAGCUGCAUGACCUGCUGUGUCAUAGCGCCAACGUGGACAGCAGUGGAGACGGAUGAGGGAGGUGCACGACAGGCUGCCAUGACGGGCUCGGAGGAGAACUCCAGUGGGGCGGCGAGCGCAUCAGCAAUGACCUGAUCGAUCUCUUGCUGGUUGUUGCCGAUGUCGAUGGCGAGCGGUGGCGGCGGGGGGGGGGGGGACGGAAUCCGCCGUGGCGAAGAAGGCAGACACAGGCGACGUAGGGCCAACGGGUAGCGGAGGGGCGACGAUCCCCGUGCCAGUGCCGCCCAGCCCCGUAAGCAGCGAGAGCGGCGGCGUGGCCUUGAGGUUGCUGCCGUUGGAGCGAUGCUCACGGUGCCCGCCCUUGUGCUGGCGCCUGCCAGCAGGUGUCCUGCUUCUCUGCCUGGUCGGGGCCGUGGAGUUGCUCCCUGCCUUGUGCUCCUUCCUGCUAUGCGCACGCCACAGGAGGGCGUCCUUCCAAGAGCGACGGCCGUGCGCUCCGUCUUGGUCGUCGUGGUCACAGCGCGGCCCGAGCUGCAGGCCGCCGCAGCCUGCCAGCGAGACCACGGAUGGGUGGCGCCUGGGCUGGCCUUGGACGUCUUCCACGUGCAUCAUCCAUGUGCCAGUCCAGGUCGUCGGGCAUGGGCGGUCGUCGUCGGAGCCGGAGGAAGGGAGACCGCUCUGGCCGGAGUGGGAGGAGCGGGCCGACGCGGUGGACCAGUCUUCCACGCGGUCGACAUGGAUGAGCAGCUGGUGCUGCCUGACGCGGGGUGGUUGUUCGACCUCGCGGCUUGGAGGAGAGGCGCCGAGCAUGGUCUCAACGCGGCCUACGCCGCGCGUGGUUGAUACGUCUCCAACGUAUCUACUUUUCCAAACACUUUUGCCCUUGUUUUGUACUCUAACUUGCAUGAUUUGAAUGAAACUAACCCGGACUGACGCUGUUUUCAGCAGAACUGCCAUGAUGUUGUUUUAUGUGUAGAAAAGAAAAGUUCUCGGAAUGUCCUGAAAAUCCACGGAGGCACUUUUUGGAAAAUAUAAAAAAUAUUGGCGAAAGAAUCAAGACCAGGGGGCCGACACCUUGUCCACGAGACAGGGGGGCGCGCCCCCUCCCCCUGGGCGCGCCCCCCCUAUCUCGUGGUCCCCCUGGACCUCCACCGACCUCAACUCCAACUCCAUAUAUUCACGUUCGGGGAGAAAGUUUCAUCGCGCUUUACGACAUGGAGCCACCGCAAAGCCCUAAUCUCUCUCGGGAGGGCUGACGUGGAGUUCGUUCGGGACUCCGGAGAGGGGGAUUCGUCGCCGUCAUCAUCAUCAACCAUCCUCCAUCACCAAUUUCAUGAUGCUCACCGCCGUGCAUGAGUAAUUUCAUCGUAGGCUUGUUGGACGGUGAUGGGUUGGAUGAGAUUUACCAUGUAAUCAAGUUAGUUUUGUUAGGGUUUGAUCCCUAGUAUCCACUAUGUUCUGAGAUUGAUGUUGCUAUGACUUUGCUAUGCUUAAUGCUUGUCACUAGGGCCUGAGUGCCAUGAUUUCAUAUCUGAACCUAUUAUGUUUUCAUGAAUAUAUGUGUGUUCUUGAUCCUAUCUUGCAAGUCUAUAGUCACCUAUUAUGUGUUAUGAUCCGACAACCCCAAAGUGACAAUAAUCGGGAUACUUCUCGGUGAUGACCAUAGUUUGAGGAGUUCAUGUAUUCACUAUGUGCUAAUGCUUUGUUCUGGCUCUCUAUUAAAAGGAGGCCUUAAUAUCCCUUAGUUUCCGCUAGGACCCCGCUCCCACGGGAGGGUAGGACAAAAGAUGUCACGCAAGUUCUUUUCCAUAAGUAUGUAUGACUAUUUAUGGAAUACAUGCCUACAUUACAUUGCUGAACUGGAGCUAGUCCUGUGUCACCCUAUGUUAUAGCUAUUACAUGAGGAAUCGCAUCCGGCAUAAUUAUCCAUCACUGAUCCAUUGCCUGCGAGCUUUUCACAUAUUGUUCUCCGCUUAUUUACUUUUCUGUUGCUACUGUUACAACUACUACAAAAAAACCCAAAAACUAUUAUCUUUACUUUUGCCACCAUUACCUUUAUUAUCAUACUACUUUGCUACUAAUUACUUUGCUGCAGAUACUAAGUUAUCCAGGUGCGGUUGAAUUGACAACUCGACUGCUAAUACUCAAUGAUAUUCUUUGGCUCCCCUUGUGUCGAAUCAAUAAAUUUGGGUUGAAUACUUUACCCUCGAAAGCUGUUGCGAUCCCCUACACUUGUGGGUUAUCAGCGGUGUGGCACCCCAGCUCAGAGAAAACCGGAACGCCUCGUAUUCCAGCCCAGAGAUCGAGGAGAAGUCUUCUGGAAUACGACACUGCUUAGCAUAGAACAAACCAGCCUUCUAUUAUUACACGAAUAUGAAUACAAGGUCUCCGAUAUUACAAUGAAUAACAUCGGUACGGCGACACUACGCCAUCCUCAGUUGCUCUAUGCAAGCAGCAGAACAACUCGAAGCAGCGGAAUAACUCUAGCAGCAGAACAACGACGACGGUGGUGAACUCCACUCCGCAGGGACUCUGGCUAGAACGCUUAUCCUAGCUUGCACGAAUGGAAACCACGACAAGCAAGCAAUCAAAUCCGGCAUGACCUGCAAACUGGCAUGACACGUCAGGUCAGUACAUUGAAUGUACUUGCAAGCUCAGAAUAACCAGAAGCAUUCAAGACAAACAACAGCAUGGCAAUUACAGGUUAAGCAUAAUUUAACAUGAUAUCAUCAGAAUAAUAUAGCAUGAACAUGAUACAGCUAACCCAUCAUGAACAUAUUAAUCCAACAAUACUAGCAUGCAACGUGAUGACACUAUAUGCACCACUUAUUCUGCUCGGGUUACCUCGUAACCAAUAUAGGCAUCACUUACCAACCUCGGACAUCACACGAUCAUCCUAGAUUCAAAUCAAGCUUGGUAUGAACAAUACCGUAGCGAUCAUUAAAUGACCACAAGGAGCUUGAUCUUUACCCACGAUUCUCGCACAACAUCACGAAUAUACACAGCUCGGUAUCCUCGAUACCACCGUGAUCCUUACGGCGAUCACAACCCAACCAACACUUGUCCCGUGAUCCUCACAGCGAUCACAACCCAACCAACACUUGGCCCGUGAUCCUUACGACAAUCACAACCCGACCAACACUUGGCCCGUGAUCCUUACGGUGAUCACAUCCCGACCAAUAAAUGGCCCGUGAUCCUUACGGCGAUCACAACCCGACCACUAAAUGGCCCGUGAUCCUUACAGCGAUCACAACCAACUUAUCUCAUUGUUAUUAAGCACAUUAUUCUUAUUACUGUUGACUCACGGUGUGACCUACUUUCGACCUGGGCCCUUAUCCGCCGGCGCGGCUAUCGAUAGAUUUAAUAUACACUCUGUAGAGGUUAGUACACUGUACCCACACUACAGAACCCAUGGCCUCGCAAUCCCAUUCAGGUGGACCAACGGCGUUCCUACCAAACCGUCCUACUGCCAUGACACUCUCUCGGCCACUCCGACUCACUCCCCUCUGGGCUAAGUCAUGGGUGGACCCGUGUCUACCUCAAGACACCUCAACGACCACCGUCGUGGCCCAAACAUAAACGAUCCCACACGGGGACCUGGAUCCAUAAACUCAUCAACGGGCACACAAGGCUUAUGUCCGCCUAAUUGAUCAGGGUAGCGCGCGCCCAUAACCUUCCCUCGUUGGAGGCACCGGCGAGAGGCACGACAAUAGACCCAGUUAGGACCAUCCCAUACCGGUAAGCAUGGUUGCACUGGUCAGCAUCAUUUCAGUGGCACCAUGACUCAGCCAACAGUUGUUCAAGUUCAAUUUAGUCCGUUUAACUUGAAUGCAAAUAUGAUGAGCCAUGAUAAAAUGCAUGAACAUGAUAUCAACAUAAUCAUAAGGGUAUCACAUGACUAUCCACCAUAUCAAUAAUAAAUCAUAUCCACCGAGCAUGGCAUACUGACUAGCAUGACCAUCACCAACAUCAACAUGUACUACUAGAAAGCAUAAAUAUAUGAAAGGAAAUACUAGCAGGUAGGACAUGAUAACAGAGUACAAAACAACAUACCACAAAAGUGAACAUGCAAAUCUAAACAUCACCGGAACAACGAUAACCAUCUUUUCAACAAGCAAACAUUUAAUAAAGAUUUAAGUUGAAAACCAUGGCUAAUGCAUGACUAUCAUGCAAGUGGGUAUUGUGGCUUGCCUAGGUGGAAGAAAUCACUGGGGAGAAGUGCGAGAAACUCGCGGAACAAAUCGCCGGAAAAUGUUCUCUCUCGGAGGGGGCUGAAUAAGGGCAAGGGCAUAAUGGUCAUUUUCACAGGAUCAAACCAUAGUGAAAGUAAAACCAACAGAACAGGCUUGACGAAACAAAGAAGUGGGCUUUGGAAUCACCUCAUUUGGAGUUACAGAUAAAAAGUUGUGAGGGGUUGAAGUUCAGGGACUUUUUUGUAAAAAUAACAUCACAACCAAGUCCCUGAGUGGAUAAGGCAGAAACGGGUUUGCAGAAAUACAAUUUCGGAAAGCGAAGACGUAAUCUGUGGAUUACGUCUCCACUUAUCCUCAUCAGCGUACCUGGGUCGACGCGGGGCCGGCGGGCUAGGAGGCUGACGGGCGGGUCCCACAGGCUGUGGGGCCCGUCACUUAUCCACGUGGGAAGCCCGGGUCAACGCCCGCUCGCCGAUGGGUGGGGCUGCAUGGAGAUGGGGCCCGCCUGGCCCGAGGUCGUCGUCCACCUCAAGCCUCCCCGCGAGGCAGAGGAGGACCGGCGUGCUCCGGCGAUGAGCUCUGGCGCCACAGACCGCCUCCGGCGAGGCUACGGGCACCGAAGAGAUCGGGGAGAGGCGCCGCAUCCAUCCCGCCUGGGCACGGACGUCGAGGAGGACCGAAGCAAUGAGGGAGCGGACUCAAGCGGAGAUGGCUUCGGGUGGGAUUUGGCUACGGGGCUGCACGGCACAGCAGCGAGGGGAAAGGAGUUGGGGCGAGUAGCUGGACUCCGGGGAGGCUAAUGGUGGGGGCAGAGCGGAGGGGAAGGGCUCGGCUUGCCCGAAUCGAAGAGGGGCAGAGGCGGCGUCCAUGGAGGCAAGGGAGGGCUCAGGAGCUCUUGGAGCUCGAGCGAGUGGACGGGGUGGGAGCUGGGAGAGAGGCGAGGCCAGAGGUGAGCUCGGGAGGCUCGGGGGAUGGCUAUUUAUAGCCACAAGGUGAGAUGGCCGAACUGGCACCGCCGCGGACGUGUGGACGACGUCGGGGACGCGUGUGCUCGCACAUGGGCUCGAGGGAAGGCGAGGCGAUGGACAGGGAGGAACUCACGGGGUAGAAGAGGUCGAGGGAUGUGAUACAUCUCCGUCGUAUCUACUUUUCCAAACACUUUUGCCCUUGUUUUGGACUCUAACUUGUAUAAUUUGAAUGGAACUAACCCGGACUGAUGCUGUUUUCAGCAGAAUUGCCAUGGUGUUGUUUUAUGUGCAGAAAAUAAAAGUUCUCGGAAUGACCUGAAACUCCACGGAACACCUUAGAAAAAACAAUAAAAAAUCCUCGCAAAAGAUGAAGACCAGGGGGCCCACACCCUGUCCACGACGGUGGGGGCGCGCCCCCUACCUCAUGGGCCCCCUGGUGGCCCUCCGACGCCAACUCCAACUCCAUAUAUUGGCUUUCAGGGAGAAAAAAAUCAGAGAGAAGAAAUCAUUGCGUUUUACGAUACGGAGCCGCCGCCAAGCCCUAAUAUCUCUCGGGAGGGCUGAUCUAGAGUCCGUUCAAGGCUCCGGAGAGGGGGAUUCGUCGCCGUCGUCAUCAUCAACCAUCCUCCAUCACCAAUUUCAUGAUGAUCACCGCCGUGCGUGAGUAAUUGCAUCGUAGGCUUGCUGGACGGUGAUGGGUUGGAUGAGAUUUAUCAUGUAAUCGAGUUACUUUUGUUAGGGUUUGAUCCCUAGUAUCCAUUAUGUUCUGAGAUUGAUGUUGCUAUGACUUUGCUAUGCUUAAUGCUUUUCACUAGGGCCCGAGUGCCAUGAUUUCAGAUCUGAACCUAUUAUGUUUUCAUGAAUAUAUGUGUGUUCUUGAUCCUAUCUUGCAAGUCUAUAGUCACCUACUAUGUGUUAUGAUCCGGCAACCCCGAAGUGACAAUAAUCGGGACCACUCCCGGUGAUGACCAUAGUUUUAGGAGUUCAUGUAUUCACUAUGUGCUAAUGCUUUGUUCCGGUUCUCUAUUAAAAGGAGGCCUUAAUAUCCCUUAGUUUCCAAUAGGACCCCGCUGCCACGGAAGGGUAGGACAGUGUCAUGCAAGUUCUUUUCCAUAAGCACGUAUGACUAUAUAAGGAAUACAUGCCUACAUUACAUUGAUGAACUGGAGCUAGUUCUGUGUCACCCUAUGUUAUGACUGUUACAUGACGAACCGCACCCGGCAUAAUUAUCCAUCGCUAAUUCGGUGCCUACGAGUUUUCCAUAUACUGGUUCUCGCUUAUUUACUUUUCCGUAGCUACUGUUACAAUCACUACAAAAUACCAAAAACAUUACUUUUGAUGUCUUUACUUUUGUUACCGUUACCACUACUAUCAUAUUACUUUGCUACUAAACACUUUGCUGCAGAUACUAAGUUUCCAGGUGUGGUUAAAUUGACAACUCAACUGCUAAUACUUGAGAAUAUUCUUUGGCUCCCCUUGUGUCGAAUCAAUAAAUUUGGGUUGAAUACUAUACCCUCAAAAACUGUUGCGAUCCCCUAUACUAGUGAGUUAUCAGGACGCAGGGACGAAGACGACAGCGACGAACUGAGCCAAAAUGCCACUGUGCUCUCGUGGGCGUUCGGCGGCGAGCAUCGGUGAGGAAGAGGACGGAGGGGGAGAGGGGUCCAGGGGAACGGCGAUGAUGAGAGGAAGCCAAGGGACAUGCUCACGAGCGCGAAGACAGCGAGAGGGGGAGGGGGUCCAGCACAAACAGCCACUGGACGCAGCCACUGCACACAGAGCGCAAGCACAGGCACGCCAUUGUCAUGGUCACCACAUGCACUGGCAUCAAGAGGGGCCAAAUGGCUGGCAAAUGUUGUCUAGUGGUAAGUCCGUCGAAGGUGGGUUUCAACUGAGGUGGUAGUUUGGUGAAAACGUCUGUGAUUAAAAGGUUAGUGAGCUCUAAAGUUUACUGCAGUAAACUUUAUCAGCUCAAUGUGAUCAACAGGGAUAUGCUAUGGGCCAAAUAAGUUGUCUGGGGUGUUUAGCUAUGGAGGGACUAUGAUCCUGGAGGUUUUGAGGGUAAAUGGACCCAUAUUUACUGCAGUUGCUUCACAACUGACCAAAAUGGUCCAGAAACUAGACCAACAAGAUGCACUCACAUGGAGUGUUCACUUGAGCUCAAAUUGGGCAAGGCUUGAUCAUUUGGUCAUAUGAAUAUGCUCACCAAGUAUCAUACCAUUUGGCAAAGCCAAAAUGGUACUUGCUUCACAAACAUCUCUGCUGACCAAAAACUUGAAAUAAUAUUGGUGAUCAAAUGGCUCAAUGAAAUGAUGCCAAAUUGGGUUGAGAGAGGUUUUAUGGGUAUAGAAUGAUCUGGUAAUUUAUCAGGAUUUUUGAAGCAAUAUAAAAUAUACUUGCUUCACAACCUGAAAUAUUGCCAGAAACAAAGAUUUGCUCCUGUGCUCACAUAGAUAAUUGGAUGGGGCUGCAAAUGGGUGGAAGGGGUUAAAAUGAGCACAUUAAGGAGUGUGCAAAAGUUCAGCUCAUUUGGGUACCCCUAGCUAGUAAUUCCUUCACAAAGCCUUCUGUUUGACAGAAACUUUGAAAAUUCACAGAGGAAGAUUGGCUAGGCAAAUAUAUUUGAAUUGUGCAUGGGGCAACUAUUUGGUCAUAUAUACAUGACCAAAAAGGUUGGGAGCCACUAGGAAAAAUAUAAAUGACACUUCCUUCACAAAGUGCCAUUUAGGGCAGAAUAGAAAAAGGAAUAUUGGGGAAUUAUUUUUGAACAUGGCAAUGAAUAGUUUUGCCAUAUUUGAUCAAGAUAUGACCCAAACAAUUUAUGAGAAUUAUUUGGGAAUUUUUGGAGUGAUGGAAAUAUACGUUGCUUCACAACCUAGGGCAAUUUGAGUUAUUCCUUUAAUAGAAAAGGAAUAUUCCCUAUAAAAAGAAUAUUGGGAUAUGGGCUAGGAUGAAAAUGACAGGGUCUAGGGAAGGAUUUGGGAAUGACAAGCCACUCUAGAAGCAAAGAAGAGGUCAUCUUCUUCAGUUUCCAGACCACAAAGCCACGAAAAAGAAAAACUCAGGCAAAAACCUCGGAAAAACAAAAGAAAAAGAAAGGGCCAAAAAUCAGGUUGUCACAAACCUUACCCCCUUAAAGAAAUCUCGCCCUCGAGAUUUGGUUGCUCAGGGAACAAGUAUGAAUAUUCUAACUUAAGGAAACCGUUUCCAACACGGGUAUCCUUUUCCCUUUAUUGUUGUUCCCACUAAAUUUUUAUCCAACUGGCCCUGGGGUAGUUUUAUUGACUGUAUCCACAUUCUGACAGAUCUUACCUGGCCUUCUCAUUCUUAUAUAGGCUCCAAUUUCUUUUUAGAUCUGCUGACUUGCUGAGUGUGAUAUAAUUAUCACGACUGAAAUAUAUGUCUGUCUCACCAAUCCAAAAGUGAUUUCCGCUGGGUGUGUCAUCCGGCACUGACAACCUUUCAUGUAAUGAUGAUCAGAAUUUUCUGAUGAAAACUCAAGCUCUGACUCAUUGCAUUGGGUUUCUCCACUAAAUGCAGGUCCUUUGGGUUCCAAACAGUGAGUUAAAACAUAACCGUUUACUGGUAGAUUCUGACUCAUCGCAGAAGUUUCUAAAUUAUUCUGACUGACUUCACUCUCUUGAGCCUCAGAUUCGUUCCAAAUAUUUGAUUGUCUCCUAUCGCGGCCAGCAUAAAGGGUUUGGCAUGUAUGAUAAUAUCUGCAGACUUGACUGACGGUGGUUCUGAUGGAAAAAAUUUGUUCACGACAGGCUAUUCAUGAUGAUUCAUAUAAGUGAGGACUCAUGCUUCCAGACUGUUAUUCCUCAUGCCGAUUACUCAUGCUGUAGGCAUAUCCAUGUGGAUCAAUGCUGACUUAGACUGUCCGGGGGAUCUGCACCAUGGGGGUCGUGUACAAUUUUCAUACCUGCAUCACUGGUCUUGCUUCUUCAUUAUUGUUUUCUUGGUCGGGAUCCUUGGCUGAAAGAGCUGGGCCAUAUUGUUUCUUUGUACGACCAUAGGUACUGUCGGUGCAAUUUUUCAGCAAUUGUAGUCCUCAUUUUUCUGACAGGAUAACCAUUAAAUGGCAGGUUCAAUACCUCUCAAGUUUUGAUCAUUGGGAAAUGAUCAUCCGAAACCCUUGCAAGAAACUGGCAAAUAAAUCAGUAGCCACCAGAACGGUCUUUACAACUCAGAUCUGGGACAUUACUGAAAUAACUCAACCAUGGCUCAGGAUGGCUGAAAAGCAGCUCAGAGCAUGAGACCGGGUCGAUAAGAAUAAGGUGGCAGCUCCCUAAAAUAGCCAAAAAGCAGCUAUAGGGCUACUGUCACAAAAAUAAAUUCAACAGUUGUAUGAGACGACCGAAAAGCAGCUCAGACUCGUGACAUUCGUUGAAGAGAGAAAUAAAAAUUGGCAUCCACCCCGGAUAGUUAGAAACAGCUCAGAUCACAGGCGUGGUGCCGUCAUUGGAUAAAAGGGGACAAGGGCUCAUCAGGAUCAUUUUCCAGGUUCACGGGUACUUGUAUUGAGCUCAUUGAUGUCGUCAAUACUCAUAAUCCUUUGUCACACUGUGGUGUAUACUGGCAUUAUUCUUGUAACCAUCCUCACGUGGUUGUCAGAUCCUCAUCCGAGUGACUUGUAAGAUCUUGGUGGUAUGCUCACUGCAUAUAUAUGAUGACCUGAUUCCGAGACAGACGUGUAUUCUGGCUGAUUCUUGAUUCUGACCUAAAUGUUGUGGAUCUGAUUCUUGGGAUUCACUGCCAUAUGCUAUCAAUUCACAGCGUACUACCUUGUACCCGUGUCUUAUUGAGGAAGAUUUGCUGGCUUGUGCUCGAAACUUUCAUCGGACAGCUUGUUGAAGAAGACUGGGUAUCGUGCUUCAGAAGCUUACCCCCUUAAAGACUUUGCUGGGGAAAGACUCAGUACCUUAUGCCAGAAUCUUUUGCGGUUGCUUACUGAAGAAGACAGGGUACCUUGCAUGGGGAAUCAUCCACGUAUCAUACUAAGGAAGAUAGAUGAAUCUUGCCUUGGAAGCCUCUCGGGUAUCUUGUGAGGGAAGAUUGGGUUGCUUACACCAGAAGCUUCUUAUUGUGAUAACCAUCUGUAUAUUUUUGCUAUUGAUUUCUUGCAUGAAACGGGGUUUUGCAGGACUAUUCUCAUUUCCGAGUACAUGCCAUAUUUUUGCUUGCUUCCAGGUACAUCGAGUUCCAAAAUCAUCCUCAACGAAAAAUUAAACUUGUAUCUGAUCCAUACCUUUGAUAAUAUUCUGCCAACCUUGCACACAAUUUAUCUUCUUGCGGAUUUAAUCAUUUUGUUGUGAUGAGUGCACGCUAAUGCAAACUUGAUACUGACGAUUCAUCCAGGAUUUCUUUUGCAUCUAGACAAGAUAUUCCCAAUUUCACUACAGUCAACUGAUAAUUCCAUUCUGUUUAGAUGAGUUUCCAAAUAUAUGCAUUUCGUGCUGACUCUUCGGGUCCAGUGUCGGCUGACGAGCAACUUUAAUAGGGGAAAAAAUUGUAACACCGAAGGCCAAAAAAAGGAACAACAGAAAGACUAAAACAAAAGCACACAAGCAUUCUACUAAUAUAAUUAAUCAAGCAAUCAUCACAUAUUACUGCUACUCACACAAUAAUAUGCAUGCACACCUAAGCACACUAAUCUUGCGGAAACUCCGGUAUUGCGGUCUAAUAUGCUAUGGCGGCGUGCACGAAAAUUAUAUCCAUGUGUGGAAGAAUUGGUGUAAACAGCGCUACACCAAGUGCUAGCUUAGCCAGAUAGCAACCUGGACUAGCUCGGAGGCGAGGACGCACUCGGUAAUCAUGAAGUGGGACACGAAAGUCGCAACCACAUUAUUAUCAAGCGGACGGAAAAAGAUCCGUACUCGUCCAAGAAAUAGGAUUGCGGGGAAAAACUGAGGCUGCGGACAUUGCCCUUUUCUUGAUAACUAAGAUCAUUAAGGGUUGCCAACAUGACAAAAUGGAAGAUCCGGGAUAGAAACAUGUCCAUCACCGAAAUGAUAGACGGGACUGAAAGAAAGACAUCGACGCGAUACCUGAGCACCAUUUUUGCAAACGGUGUCGGGAUCUCUUCGCAUCACUCUGUUGGGACAGAAAUGACACCAAUCACCGAAAGAAAAAGGAACGGGAGAAAUGCAAAGGUUGAGCUGUAGUGGACCCGAACCAAUGCCAGCUACACUCACCAGAUAAACUGUUAGCGACUAAAUAAUAAUCUACAUGCAUGCUAUGCGACAAACAAAUGCAGCAAUCAAGUGCAACAAACCAACUGGGGUCCAUACUAACGCUUUCUAACGUUCGUGCGGUCAAGGGCGUCCUACAGCCAGACCUGCUCUGAUACCAAGCCUGUGGCACCCCGGCUCAGACAAAACCCGAACACCCCAUACUCUAGCCCAGAGAUCGAGGAGAAGUCUUCUGGAAUACGACACUGCUUAGCAUAGAACAAACCAGCCUUCUAUUAUUACACGAAUAUGAAUACAAGGUCUUCGAUAUUACAAUGAAUAACAUCGGUACGGCAACACUACGCCAUCCUCAGUUGCUCUAUGCAAGCAGCAGAACAACUUGAAGCAGCGGAAUAACUCUAGCAGCGGAACAACGACGACGGUGGUGAACUCCACUCUGCAGGGACUCUAGCUGGAACACUUAUCCUAGCUCGCACGAACGGAAACCACGACAAGCAAGCAAUCAAAUCCGGCAUGACCUGCAAACUGGCAUGACACGCCAGGUCAGUACAUUGAAUGUACUUGCAAGCUCAGAAUAACCAAAAGCAUUCAAGACAAACAACAGCAUGGCAAUUAGAGGUUAAGCAUAAUUUAACAUGAUAUCAUCAAAAUAAUAUAGCAUGAAUAUGAUACAAUUAACCCAUCAUGAACAUAUUAAUCCAACAAUACUAGCAUGCAACAUGAUGACACUAUAUGAACCACUUAUUUUGCUCGGGUUACCUCGUAACCAACAUAGGCAUCACUUACCAACCUCGGACAUCACACGAUCAUCUCAGGAUCAACUCAAGCUUGGUAUGAACAAUACCGUAGAGAUGAUUAAAUGACCACAAGGAGAUUGAUCUUUACCCACAAUUCUCGCACAACAUCAUGAAUAUACACAGCUCGGUAUCCUCGAUACCACCGUGAUCCUUACGGCGAUCACAACCCGACCAACACUUGGCCCGUGAUCCUUACGGCAAUCACAACCCGACCAACACUUGGCCCGUGAUCCUUACGGCGAUCACAACCUGACCAACACUUGGCCCGUGAUCCUUACAGCAAUCACAACCCGACCAAUAAAUGGCCCGUGAUCCUUACGGUUAUCACAACCCGACCACUAAAUGGCUCGUGAUCCUUACGGCGAUCACAACCAACUUAUCGCAUUGUUAUUAAGCACAUUAUUCUUAUUACUGUUGACUCACGGUGUGACCUACUUUCGACCUGGGCCCUUAUCCGCCGGCGCGGCUAUCGAUAGAUUUAAUAUACACUCUGUAGAGGUUAGUACACUGUACCCACACUACGGAAUCCAUGGCCUCGCACUCCCAUUUGGGUGGACCAACGGCGUUCCGACAAAACCGUCCUACUGCCAUGACACUCUCCCGGCCACGCCGACUCACUACCCUCUGGGCUAAGUCAUGGGUGGCCCCGUGUCUACCUCAAGACACCUCAACGACCACCGUCGUGGCCCAAACAUAAACGAUCCCACACGGGGACCUGGAUCCAUAAACUCAUCAACAGGCACACAAGGCUUAUGUCCGCCUACCUGAUCAGGGUAGCGCGCGCCAAUAACCUUCCCUCGUUGGAGGCACCGGCGAGAGGCACGACAAUAGACCCAGUUAGGACCGUCCCAUACCGGUAAGCGUGGUUGCACUGGUCAGCAUCGUUUCAGCGGCACCAUGACUCAGCCAACAGUUGUUCAAGUUCAUAUUAGUCUGGUUAACUUGAAUGCAAAUAUGUUGAGCCAUGAUAAAAUGCAUGAACAUAAUAUCAACAUAAUCAUGAGGGUAUCACAUGACUAUCCACCAUAUCAACAAUAAAUCAUAUCCACUGAGCAUGGCAUACUGACUAGCAUGACCAUCACCAACAUCAACAUGUACUACGAGCAAGCAUAAACAUAUGAAAGGAAAUACUAGCAGGUAGGACAUGAUAACAGAGUACAAAACAACAUAGCACAAAAGUGAACAUGCAAAUCUAAACAUCACCGGAACAACGAUAACCAUCUUUUCAACAAGCAAACAUUUAAUAAAGAUUUAAGUUGAAAACCAUGGCUACUGCAUGACUAUCAUGAAAGUGGGUAUUGUGGCUUGCUUGGGUGGAAGAAAUCACCGGGGAGAAGUGCGAGAAACUCGCGGAACGAAUCGCCGGAAAAUGUUCUCUCUCGGAGGGGGCUGAAUAAGGGCAAGGGCAUAAUGGUCAUUUCCAUAGUGUCAAACCAUAGUGAAAAUGAAACCAAUAGAACGGGCUCGACGAAACGAAGAAGUGGGCUUUGGAAUCACCUCAUUUGGAGUUACGGAUAAAAAGUUAUGAGGGGUUGAAGUUCAAGGACUUUUCUGCAAAAAUAACAUCACAACCAAGUCCCUAAGUGGAUAAGGCAGAAAUGGGUUUUCAGAAAUACGAUUUCGGAAAGCAAAGACAUAAUCAGUGGAUUACGUAUCCACUUAUCCACGUCAGCGUACCUGGGUCAACGCGGGGCCGGCGGGCUGGGAGGAUGACGGGCGGGUCCCACGGGCUAUGGGGCCCAUCACUUAUCCACGUGGGCAGCCCAGGUCAAUGCCCGCUCGCCGACGGGUGGGGCUGCGUGGAGAUGGGGCCCGCCUGGCCCGAGGUCGUUGUCCACCUCAAGCCUCCCUGCGAGGCAGAGGAGGACCGGCGUGCUCCGGCGACGAGCUCACGUGCCACAGACCGCCUCCGGCGAGGCUACGGGCACCGGAGAGAUCGGGGAGAGGCGCCGCAUCCAUCCCGCCUGGGCACGGAUGCCAAGGAGGACCGGAGCGAUGAGGGAGCAGACUCCGACGGAGAUGGCUUCGGGUGGGAUUUGGCUACGGGGCUGCGGGGCACUCCGGCGAGGGGAAAGGAGUUGGGGCGAGUAGCUGGACUCCGGGGGGGCUACUGGUGGGGGCAGAGCGGAGGGGAAGGGCUCGGCUUUCCCAAAUCGAAGAGGGGCAGAGGCUGCAGCCAUGGCGGCAAGGACGGGCUUAGGAGCUCUUGGAGCUCGAGCGAGUGGACGGGGAGGGAGCUGGGAGACAGGCGAGGCCAGAGGUGAGCUCGAGAGGCUCGGGGGAUGGCUAUUUAUAGCCGCGGGGCGAGGUGGCUGAGCUGGCACCACCGCAGACGCGUGGACGGCGCCAGGGACGCGUGUGCUCAUGCAUGGGCUCGGGCGAAGGCGAAGGCGACGCACAGGGAGGAACUCACGGGGUAGAAGAGGUCGAGGAACGCAGGGAGGAAGACGACGGCGACGAACAGAGCCAAAACGCCACUGUGCUCUCGUGGGCGUUCGGUGACAAGCGUCUGUGAGGAAGAGGACGGAGGGGGAGAGGGGUCCAGGGGAACGGCGACGAUGAGAGGAAGCCAAGGGACAUGCUCGCGAGUGCAAAGACAUCGAGAGGGGGAGGGGGUCCAGCACAAACAGCCACUGGACGCGGCCACUACACACAGAGCACGUGCACAGGCACGCCAUUGUCGUGGUCACCACGUGCACUGGCAUCAAGAGGGGCCAAAUGGCUGGCAAAUGUUGUCUAGUGGUAAGUCCGUCGAAGGUGGGUUUCAACUGAGGUGGUAGUUUGGUGAAAACGUCUGUGGUUAAAAGGUUAGUGAGCUCUAAAGUUACUGCAGUAAACUUUAUCAGCUCAAUGUGAUCAACAGGGAUAUGCUAUGGGCCAAAUAUGUUGUCUGGAGUGUUCAGCUAUGGAGGGACUAUGAUCCUGGAGGUUUUGAGGGUAGAUGGACCCAUAUUUACUGCAGUUGCUUCACAACUGACCAAAAUGGUCCAGAAACUAGAUCAACAAGAUGCACUCACAUGGAGUGUUCACUUGAGCUCAAAUUGGGCAAGGCUUGAUCAUUUGGUCAUAUGAAGUUGCUCACCAAGUAUCAUACCAUUUGGCAAAGCCAAAAUGGUACUUGCUUCACAAACAUCUCUACUGACCAGAAACUUGAAAUAAUAUUGGUGAUCAAAUGGCUCAAUGAAAUGAUGCCAAAUUGAGUUGAGAUAGGUUUUAUGGGUAUAAUAAUGAUCUGGUAAUUUAUCAGGAUUUUUGAAGCAAUAUAAAAUAUACUUGCUUCACAACCUGAAAAUAUUGCCAGAAACAAAGAUUUGCUUCUGUGCUCACAUAGAUAAUUGGAUGGGGCUGCAAAUGGGUGGAAGGGGUUAAAAUGAGCACAUUAAGGAGUGUGCAAAAGUUCAGCUCAUUUUGGUACCCCUAGCUAGUACUUCCUUCACAAAGCCUUCUGUUUGACAGAAACUUUGAAAAAUCAUAGAGGAAGAUUGGCUAGGCAAAUAAAUUUGAAUUGUGCAUGGGGCAACUAUUUGGUCAUAUAUACAUGACCAAAAAGGUUGGGAGUCACUAGGAAAAAUAUAAAUGACACUUCCUUCACAAAGUGCCAUUCAGGGCAGAAUAGAAAAAGGAAUAUUGGGGAAUUAUUUUUGAACAUGGCAAUGAAAAGUUUUGCCAUAUUUGAUCAAGAUAUGACCCAAAAAUUUAUGAAAAUUAUUUGGGAAAUUUUGGAGUGAUGGAAUUAUAGGUUGCUUCACAACCUAGGGCAAUUUGAGUUAUUCCUUUAAUAGAAAAAGAAUAUUCCCUAUAAAAAGAAUAUUGGGAUAUGGGCUAGGAUGAAAAUGACAGGGUCUAGGGAAGUAUUUGGGAAUGACAAGCCACUCUGGAAGCAAAGAAGAGGUCAUCUUCUUCAGUUUCCAGGCCACAAAGCCACGAAAAAGAAAAACUCAGGCAAAAACCUCGGAAAAACAAAAGAAAAAGAAAGGGCCAAAAAUCAGGCUGUCACACGCGGCCUGCCAGAUGUGUGCUUGGUGGAGAUGAAGGCGACAUCCCACACCCACACCCAGCACGCGGACGUCCGGGUGUGUCCGCGCUCGUGCGUGCGGGUGUCGAGGCAGUCGAUGAUGCAGUUUACACCGAGCACCUCCACUGCGCCCUCCAGCGACCACAUCUGCAGCGACAUCUUCUCUCUGACCACGCACACGUGCAACAUGAAGUCCUGGUGCACGACGUGGUCAUCCUCGUGCCACGGCUUGAUGGUGAAGGUGACGCCGUCGACGGAGAGGGAACCGAGGCGGACGGCGUUGUCGUGGUGGGCGGGCAGCUCGAAUAGCAGUAGGAAGUCCUUCGGAUCGUGGCUCGUGACACGCAGCAGGUGCACCGGCGUGCGGAGCGCGGCGUCGAACGCGCGCCCCACCGACAUGGGAUUCGCCGCGUGCCGCUCCCCCUGAGCGGUCAGGAGAACGGUGUGGCGACGGAGGAAAGCGGUCUGGUGCUCCAUUGUCGGCAUCUCGAUGACGACCUUGUGGCUGUUCCUCGGGCGCCUGGAGGGGUCGGUGUGGUGGCAGCUGUCCAUGGUCGGCUCGGGUGCCAGAGGCGAAGGGAAGCGGAGGCAGGAGCGGACUGGGCCGCGGGCGACGGCCCCGCGCACUACUUCAGAUGACCUACUGCUCUGGGAGUUGCAUGGAUUUUUUGGGCAGUCGCGGGCGAUGUGCCGGGGAGCUUGCACCCAAUGCAGUGGAUAGGAUCGCGGCAAUCUACGCGGCGAUGUUCAGAGCUUAGACACCGGAAGCAGAGCCCCUUGAAACGCCUUAAGAAGACCUCUCGCCCGGCACCAGCGGCAGCAAUGAAGGCAGGCCGGUGGCAUUGACGUCGGCGCGGUCGUCCACCGGCAUGGGCGCGCGCACUGGCCCGGCACGCGUUGCGGGACUGGACCUGUGUCCAGCCAUCAGCCUGGCCCGAAGAGGGAGGGGGCAGCCUAACAACAAUGGACUUGAGGCGGGGCUGCCCAAAAUGGCGAUGCGCUUCAUUAUCCGGAGGAGCGGAGGCGGCCGCGGCGUUGGAGCUCUCGCCUCGCAGCAGGAUUCGCGGCGGAGGGGCAUGGAGAGGCGCGGGAGAGCCGGGGGACGCCGGAGUGCCCGGAUCUGCCGACGGACCGUUGGGCAGAACGGGAUCUGGGAUGGGCGCGGAGUGGCCCCAUCCCACGCUGUCCCGCGAGCUGGAGCGGGUUGAAGAGGGGGGCGCGGGGAGCGGGCGCGACCCAUGCCGCAGGUGAGGUGGCGCCGCUGACCGGGCGGUCAGGCGACGGAGAUUGGUGGCCGCCGCGGCCGGAGUGGCCGACGGCGCGUGCAGGAGGGGGAGCGCACCUUUCAAUCCAGGCGGGUCCCUCGCUCCUUCACCCCCGUAGUAGGUUAGAUCACAUCAAUAUUAAUUCUCUUUAUUUCACAUCCUUCCCGACAACCACCAAUGUACAUGGUCACAAUCUUAGGCUCUAGUUUGUGGCAAGCUAGGUCUUGCCACAGUGAAUUCCUCACAAUGAGGAGGAAUACGACAAAGUUAACAAAGGCAGUGACACUUUUUGGGAAAUGAAAAUUAAAAAUAUUUGUGCAUCACACCAAAUGGCCAAUAUAACCAGUUUUUUUUUACAAAAAUGAGGAUAACCCUCGGUCUCUACAUCAGAACGAUGCAUAUAGCCAUAUAUUAGAAUGCAAAAUCGAGCAGCCAAACAACAUCAAAAACCCGAGGCCGCAUGCCUCUCGCGACAGUAACUCCAUUAGAUAACCUCUAGCUACAGUAACUUCAUCAGAUAACCACUAACCCUAUGUUACAAGAUGACAGCAAAACGAAAAAUACACAAUUCUUAGGCCACAUCUUCAACAGGAAUUGCCGCACGUGCGCCGAUGAUGGCGAGUCUAACACAAGGUUGAACUAUGGAUUCUCAUCCUCAAAGCCAAGCUUCAAUCCACCACCUUCAGCAAGGACACAAAGCAGACGCGCGUCGACAUAGUCUGAUCAUAGAUCUUGUGUUUCCACCGGAGUGCAUAAAGUCGUCGUUGAAGCCGUGUGUACCAUCAUCCCUUAUCCUGGUACCGACGCCUCGAUAACUGGAUACUCUGGAGAAGACACCAGAGACAGACGUCCCAUACCGCCUGCCUCCCGCCACUGUCGCACCACCUUCGAUCCAGCAGCAACAGGCUAGACAUGAGACCUCUGUCAGAGCCAUUGUGCAGCACGUGCCAGUAGCAGGCAUGGCUUGAUGUCCCCGCAUGAGACGUAGUGCGCAGCAUUUGCCGGAGGCUUCACCUGCCGGUGACAGGCACUGCCUGACGACUCGAAAAGAGACACAUGGCCAAUAUAAUCAGGUGAUUGUCUAUUAUAAUUUGCAUGUGGUUUUCAAAAUCUAACAACUAACACCUCUCCUCAUAUGUGACCACUAAAUUACUGCCGGUCUUUUGCAAGUUGUUCGUUGUGCGUCUUCUUUGCUUCUACCUCUUCUUCUUCUUCUUUAAUCUUUUUUGGUUGUGCGCAUAUCCUCGAUGUUUCGACUAGUUCUUGAUAUUGUAUCGUUGCAAAGGUUGGGUGUCACGGGUAAAAAAAUGUGCAAUUUCAGAUGACCUGUAUAUGCAAAAAUUCCAGCCAAGUAUGAAUUAGCAAAACUAUACAACUAAAUACCCCGGCCCUUCCCCUCAAAAAUAAAAAAUAAAAUACUCAAUGCGUGCUCGUCCUAGAAAAUGGAUUCCCCAGUGCUUCGUCCUAGGCAGUGCAUUGCAUUGUACAUGGCCUGCCUAGAUCAGGACAAAUGUGUUCCAGGCUUCCAGCACAGGAUAAGGUGACCAAGUGUCACGACCAGCGUGUACCAGGUAUGGAGGAGCCGCACGACAACAACGAGAAACAAUCUAUCAAUCCCAGUUGCUGCUGCUCCCGCCGGAUGGCACCAAAAACACAAGCAUACGCCGAAGCUUGCGCACAGUUGCAACCAACGUGGCCGCGCGGCCGCCACGCACAGGCGCCUCAGCGGUCAGCAGCACCUCCUCCCAAAUCCAAAUCCCGGCGACGCGAACGGAUCCGAUCUCUCUUGUCUUCUCCGGGGCGUUCCACUUCCAGCCGGUUGCUGUUCCUUGAAAGGCAGCACUAGGGAUGGGUCGCCCAUGUGCCACGCGAGCCGCGCCGGGAGUUGAUUGCCGGAGUUGCUGAGAAAUGCUGCGCCUCCAUACCCUGUGAUCGUCUACCUGGAACCCGCGGGAAUGGUGGUUGUUCUUCGGACUUCGGCGUUCCAAUUCCAGUCGGCGCGAAUUAAAUGGGGAGUCUGUUCUAAAAGAAGAUGAAUUAAAAGGGAAAUCUGGUGCUGCCUGAGACCGACCAGGAGUAUGUACAUUUCUGGCAUUGAUGCCAGUUAAAGGAAUGUUUGGCUUUAGGAAUUUUUGUUCAAAAAGACCACCUGCCCAAUGCAAUUGACAGAAAAGAUCACCCUUGAAUCAGAUUGGCAGAAGAGACCAGCUAGAUCGUGGCGGCAGGCGCGCCAGCCGACACGUGGCGCCUGCCGUCACAUGCGGAGGCGGCAGCCCCUGCCGCCACAAGCCCAGGCGGCAACUGCCGCGAAACAGAAAACAACGCCCAGCGACGGAACGGAGUUGGCCGUGGGACCCGGCUCUCAGCCCACGUGGAAGCUGCCGCCACUCCACCAGGCGGCAUGCACUAUUUUUCCAUAUGUUUGAAUUCUAUACAAGGCGGCUGGAGUGCACGAAUUUUUGUUCAAAAAGACCACCUGCCCAAUGCAAUUGACAGAAAAGACCACCCUUGAAUCAGAUUGGCAGAAGAGACCAGCUAGAUCGUGGCGGCAGGCGCGCCAGCCGACACGUGGCGCCUGCCGCCACAUGCGGAGGCGGCAGCCCCUGCCGCCACAAGCCCAGGCGGCAACUGCCGCGAAAUAGAAAACAACGCCCAGCGACGGAACGGAGUUGGCCGUGGAACCCGGCUCUCAGCUCACGUGGAAGCUGCCGCCACUCCACCAGGCGGCAUGCACUAUUUUUCCAUAUGUUUGAAUUCUAUACGAGGCGGCUGGAGUGCACAACGGUCCAGCGCAGGCAUAGUUGGAGCUGCGCUGUUCAGGAACGUGAGCAUAGCUGAUGAGAUUUGUUGCUGAAAAAAACCUGCAGAUAUGUUUUUUUUUAUUUUUGAGCUGAAGCCUGCACGUACUCCCUCCGUCCGAAAAUAUUUGUCAUCAAAACGGACAAAAAUGGAUGUAUCCAGAACUAAAAUACAUCUAGAUACAUCCCCUUUUAUUCAUUUUGAUGACAAGUAUUUCCGGACGGAGGAAGUACGUGGAAAGCAUGACAUGAUAAGAGAUGAAAUUAUGUAGAGGGAUCCAGCGGCCCAGCAGGGUCAAAAUAUUUAAGGGAAACAGUACAGGCCGCCUGGUGGACUGGCGGCAGCCUCCACGUGGGCUGCGAGCCAGGCCCCAUGGCCCAUUCCGUUCUAUUGCGCUCGCCGCUGGGCACCAAUUUCUGUUUCGCGGCAGCUGCCGCCUGGGCCUGUGGCGGCAGGUGCUGCCGCCUCCCCUCGUGGCGGCAGGCGCCACGUGUCGGCUGGCGCGCCUGCCGCCAUAGAGCAGCCGGUCUUUUUUGCCAAUUCGUCUGAGAGAUGGUCUUUUUUGUCAAUUACAUUGGAUAAGUGGUCUUUUUAGACAAAAAUUCUGGCUUUAGGGCAACCUUAGCAUUGAUGAGACUCCCAAGGAACCGCUUUCGUUCCCUACUGCUAGUGGGGUAGGCGAUAUUGGAGGCCUAAUGUCGUGCUCCCUCCCUCCGCCGGUGAGGCCGUGGAUUCCCAUCUUCUCCGUGUGGCGCUCCGGCGUAGAUUUCAUGUUGUAUCUAGGAUUAGGGUUAGGUUUUGUGGGCAUUGAGGUGGUUGAUGGUUGAGGCAUCUACGAUCGAUCUUCGUGGUCUAAGUCCUCCUUUACCAGGCUACCCGACGUUAGUUUUACGUUUUCACCGUUGUUGUUUCAUGCACAUAAUUUUUCAUCGUCGUUGAAUGCUUUGUUGUUUUCUUUCUGCCCAGGCACGGUUUAUAUGGUUUUGCCUGUGGGCUGUCUUAACAAUUUUCUUUAACAUCUCUUUGUAUGUUGUUGAAAUCGGCGGAGCGUUAUUACGGUCGUGAGGACUUCCUAUGCAAUCAUAUUGAAUUUAAUGCUCUAAGCCCUAGGGUUGUCGGUUUCUCAUUAUGAAGAGAAAGUGUAUGCUAAUGAACAAAAAUCCACGUCCGUGUUACCUUUAGUAAGUCCAUGUUGUCGUUUGAAGGUGUCCUUGUUUCUAGGUACAGCAGUCCCUUUUUUUCUGGGUUUUUUGCUUCUCGUGAAAGCAAUGUUGUGCUUUUUUCCUUUUCGAGUAGAAGCACAGUUAUGCUUCUCGUGGAAGCAAAUAUGUACUUUUCGUAGAAGAUUUGCCUCUUGUGAAGGCACAGGUUACGCUUCUCGGGAAAACAAAUUUGUGCUUCCAUGAGAAACACAACCAUGCUACUCAUGAAAGCACAAAUGUGUUAAAAAAAGCAUUUCCCCCCUCCAAAACCUGAAAAGAAACAGCCAAAAACAUAAACCCCCCCCCCCUCCAAAAAAAACAUCUAAAACUCAAAAACGCGUGUAGAAAAAAAAGGUACAGAGGAAGCACCCAACACGCGACACAUGACGAUGGCUGGACGCACCAUUUGACGCGCUCCCAGACGACAAAAGUAACCCUUGGGGAGCUAACUUGUGGUUUCUUUCUUUUUGAAUCGAAGGCUAACCUUUGUUUUACUUAGGCUAACCUUUAGUUAGUUGCUCUGCAUUUCCCACCCAUGAUAUUUUUUGUCGGUCCAAAGAAAGGCCCUCUUAAUUUUGUUAACAUUGUUUAUAGAUAAGUCAAUUAAUCUCACUGAAAACUCAAUGGCCUCAGCCCACUAGGUAUGCGACUUUUCAGAGUCCAUCAUAUGAGAAAAUGCAUCUAAAAUAUCCACCCACCCCUAUAAAAAGAAAUCGAAAAUAUCAACGCAUGUUUUUUUUAAAUACUUCCCUUCCUUUAUUAGCUUUUGAUAAUUGUUACAUCAUUCAACAAGAGAGGGACAAUCUCUGACGGGGCAUCAUCCACCCACAGAGAAGAAUGUGCUCUCAUAGCCAUCCUCUCGUAGCCAUACUAGCUAGCUCAUGAGCUACUGUAUUUGCUAAUCUGUUACAAUGAUUAAAAUAAGUUCGAGAGAACUCGCAAGCCAGAUCGUAGAAAUCAUCAAAAAUAGCUGCCGCUACAAAUAUCCACGCGUGUUAAGAUGGCCUACUGGUCAAUUUAAGGUAUUGGGACUUGUUUCAAAAAAAAAUUUAAGGUAUUGGGCAACCUGUUCCUACUCUUUGGAAGAAGCCAGCCAGAAUGCCAGAUAUCCUGGUUCAUGAAAAUACUACUCCCUCCUAUACCAAUUAAUUAAUUGACCGCAGCGGCAUCAAUUAAUUCAAAGUAGCUAAUUUCAAUACUCCCUCCGUCACGGUUUAGAAGGCACAGUUAAAUUUGCGUGUGUUUCCACAAUAGACAAGAUUUAGGGCGCAUUGCAUUUAUUUCUAGUAGCUAAUUAGUACUUCGGAGUACUAUUUCUAUAUGCAUGCGUAGUAUGAAUGCUAUUUUUUAGCCCAUCUAACAAUCAAUAGAUAACCACCUAGGUCCCAGAGAAUUUCCAAACGCGCCUUUUAAACCGUGACGGAGGGAGUACUUGUCAUCAGCCGCACAAAGUAACAUCCAUCACAAUAGGCAAUAACUUAAACUAGUAACAUGCAUACGUUACUACUUCUUCUCUCUCAAUAUACAGGGCGUGCGCGUACCCUUAGGUCGUCAAUUUGACCAACCUAAUACAAGUCAUAUAUUACAAAAAAUAUACCAAUAUAAACUUCAUAUGUUCUAUUUUCAAAAGAUAUAAUUUUUAUGUUAUAUAGUUUAUAUUAGGGUGAUAAAAUUGACAACCUAGGUAUAUGCGUAGGACUUGUAAAUUGAGACGGAGGGAGUAGUCUAUAUUACUAUCUUUAUAGUGGGAAGAAAAGUGCUGUGCAGAAGAUAAACCAUGCACGACAACCGAACGAUGAUGAAACCAGCCGUCAACUGCACUUUAUUCAUGUGCAUGGACGGAUUGAUACACAUUAUCGUUCGCACACCAUCAUGUGCAUAGCAUCGCUCUAGUGGAAAGUAACAUAUAUGUGGUGUCAUGCAACACUUCAUUUAUUAGGUUGUAGACUCAUUUUGCCUUGAUAUGUGUGAUUGUUACUCACACUACUAGUAAUUAGCUAUGUUAUCACAUGACUCUUUUUGUUCAUUAAUUACUUGCCACAUCAUCUAUUUUGUCUAAAUAUGUGUUAUGUUACCAACUAUGUUAUUCCCACCGUGGGUAGUCUAAACCAGAACAACACUCAAGUAGUAAAGUGCAUCGGUUAGUCUGCUCAUGGAACACAUGAGCUGAACAUCAAAUUAUUUCGUAUAGAAGCGCCUGCAACAGGACAGCCCUGGUAAUAUUUCUCAUUUAUGUUACUUGCUAGAUGUCAAUGCAUCACACGUUCUGGCCCAAGCUUCUCUUCCUGAUCUUCUAUGAUACCACGGACAGAGAACAUUCCAAGUCUUGGACCCGAAAAUGUGACCGACAAAAGGAUAAACACUGGCGCAAAAGGUCUAGCUAGAUGAUUGUGUAUAUUCUUAC